rnacentral:rRNA from 1 species
UGGGGAAUCUUGCGCAAUGGGCGAAAGCCUGACGCAGCAACGCCGCGUGUGUGAUGAAGGUCUUCGGAUCGUAAAGCACUGUCGCGAGGGAAGAUACGCCUACCGAUAACACCGGUGGGCUAAGACGGUACCUCGAGAGGAAGCACCGGCUAACUCUGUGCCAGCAGCCGCGGUAAUACAGAGGGUGCGAGCGUUGUUCGGAAUUAUUGGGCGUAAAGCGCUUGUAGGCGGCCUGUCAAGUCGCGUGUGAAAUCCCCUGGCUUAACCAGGGAAGUGCGCGCGAAACUGAAGGGCUUGAGUGCCGGAGAGGGUCGCGGAAUUCCCGGUGUAGAGGUGAAAUUCGUAGAUAUCGGGAGGAACACCAGUGGCGAAGGCGGCGACCUGGACGGACACUGACGCUGAGACGCGAAAGCGUGGGGAGCAAACAGGAUUAGAUACCCCGGUAGUCC